CAGGGCGCCUGUUUAACAAAAACAUGUCCUAUUGUAUUAUUUAAUAGGUCUGGCCUGCCCAGUGAUAAUUUCAACGGCCGCGGUAUAUUGACCGUGCAAAGGUAGCAUAAUCAUUAGUCUUUUAAUAGGAGGCUGGAAUGAAAGGUUUAACGAGAAAUUGACUGUCUCAAUUACAAUCUUGAAUUUAUCUUUUGAGUCAAAAGACUUAAAUAUAAUUGGUGGACGAGAAGACCCUAUAGAGCUUGACAAUUAUUUUUUUAUAUUUACUUAGACUGAAAUUAUUUAUUUAUAUUAAAAAGAUUGUUUUGUUGGGGUGACAAUAAAUAUAUAUUUAACUUUUAUCAUAAUAUUAACAUUAAUUUAUGACUUUUGGAUCCAAAAAUUUUGAUCAUUAGAUUAAGUUACCUUAGGGAUAACAGCGUAAUCUUCCCUCAGAGUUCAUAUUUACGGGAAGGGUUGCGACCUCGAUGUUGGAUUAAGAUAAUAAUUAGGUGCAGUAGCUUAAUUAAUAGGUCUGUUCGACCUUUAAAUUCUUACAUGAUCUGAGUUCAGACCGGUUUAAGCCAGGUCGGUUUCUAUCUCCAAUUUAAUAUCAGUUAUUAGUACGAAAGGACCAUAAUUGAAAAAUAUUUUUUAUGUUUUGAAUUUUAUU
rnacentral:rRNA from 1 species